AAGUAAAGUAAGCUAAUAAUAAGCUGUUGGGUUCAUACUUCGAUAAUGGUAAGAUAGAUACUUCCCUUUACUUA
rnacentral:tRNA from 1 species